rnacentral:rRNA from 1 species
GUCUACAGCCAUGCUACCCUGAACAAGCCCAAUCCCGUCUGAUCUUGGAAGCUAAGCAGGGUCAUGCCUGGUUAGUACUUGGACGGGAGACCACCUACGAAGACCAGGUGCUGUAGGUG